rnacentral:rRNA from 1 species
UACGUGAGGGUGCGAGCGUUUGUCCGGAAUUACUGGGGCGUAAAGAGCUCGUAGGUGGUUUGUCGCGUUGUUCGGUGAAAUCUCACGGCUUAACUGUGAGCGUGCGGGCGAUACGGGGCAGACUGGAGUACUGCAGGGGAGACUGGAAUUCCUGGUGUAGCGGUGGAAUGCGCAGAUAUCAGGAGGAACACCCGGUGGCGAAGGCGGGUCUCUGGGCAGUAACUGACGCUGAGGAGCGAAAGCGUGGGGAGCGAACAGG